CAAUUUAUUAAAUACAAAAUAGAAAACAUUUAAUUCAGGUUAAUACAGCUACAUAUAGCCAAAAAUAUAAAUACACAAAAGUACAAAAAAACAAAAGAAAGCAAACAAAGCAAUGUAAGAUUGUAGGAUUUCGUCAUGUGAAAGUUGAUGUGUGCAAAAGUCUUAUCUGUAGAGCAUAAAUGUCCAAACACUGUCCGUAGCUGAAGUUGGCUGAUAGCAAAUGAAUAAUCCAACCUCUUGUAAUGAAAACACGCCACAGCUCUCAAACACCAGGCUCUUCCUAACCAGGAACAGUCAAAAAUUAGUCCAGACUAUGGUCCCACUGUCAGCAUCCUACCUCCUGUAGAUUUUGAGGACCAUGAUUUCCAGCAGUCAGCAGUGUUUUCUGCAAGUAUAUUAUGAAUAUAUCAACGAGUUCCUCAUAGCAUGUCUUAUUUCACUUCCUCAUUAAAGUCGAUUUGCCACAAGCUAUGUGACUGCCAUAUGACAAUCUGAAGCAUGUGCAUUAAUACUAAAAAUAAGUUAAUUAACUGAGCAGUCCAUGUUUAUAAAUUAUUUCACGUGACAUGCGUGCGUCACAGUAAAUGUAAACAGACAAGUGAGAGACAAAUGAUUUUUAACAUUAUUAAAAUUAUUUAUAAUUAUUAUAUAUAAUUAUAUAAUUAUUUUUUUUACAAAUGUAUUUAUUUGUUUUGGAGAAGAAAAACAAACUUAACAGAUGAUUAUCAAUGUAUGUUAUGUGAAAUAUUCAGACAGUAUGUAGACAUUUGUGUUUAUUCCUAUAAUAUUUGCUUUGAAUGGUAUGUUAGAGAUGUACUGGUAAUCUUUUGAUGAGCAGAACCAGCCAAAAAUCGUCAUUUAUUCUCUAUUGACACACGCAAAAGAUUAAGGCAGGUUGACAAACAAGAAUUAAAAGGAUAUUUCACUCAAAAAUGAAAAUUGUCUUCAUGUCAUCCAGUUUUUGAUAUCAACUAUACUUUCCGUUAGUUUUGCAAAUUGGUACGUUUCAUGAGGUCGCGAAGAAAUAUAGAGCUGAGUAUCAUCAGCAUAACAGUGAAAGCUAACACCAUGUUUCCUAAUGAUAUCUCCCAAGGGUAACAUGUAAAGCGUGAAAAGUAAGGGGCCAAGUACUGAGCAUUGAGGAACUCCAUACUGCACUUGUGAUUGGUAUGAUACCUCUUCAUUUACUGCCACGAAUUGAUGGCGGCCAGAUAAGUACGAUUUGAACCAUGCCAGUGCACUUCCUCUAAUGCCAACAUAAUUUUCUAGUCUAUUUAAAAGAAUGUUGUGGUCGAUAGUGUCAAACGCGGCGCUAAGAUCCAGUAGCACUAAUAGAGAGAUACAACCAUGAUCAGAUGAUAAAAGUAGGUCGUUUGUAACUCUAAUGAGAGCAGUCUCAGUACUAUACACUGUAAAAAAAAUGCCGUAAAAUUUACGGUAAAAAACCAGCAGCUGUGGUUGCCAGAAUUAUACUGUAAAAUAUAUGGUAGCAACGUUUUAGGUUUUACCGUUUUAACUUAAAUUUACAGUUAAAUACCGUAAACUGAUAUAAUGUUAAUAUAACAACCUAUUGAAAUACUGAAAUAUGUUUUGUACCUUUGAAAUACACUGAUAACCACCAAAUGCAGGUGGUGAUGAGAAAGUCACAUGAUGAACCAAAGCCCAUCACAAGCAGCUUUUAAAUAAUAACAUAUAUAUUUCACCGUAAAAUUGUCUGAAAUGUCUAUUACAGUUUUUCACCGUAUAUAUUAGGGGAACUUACCGUUAACCAUUUAACAGUUUUUUACCGUAGCUUUUUCACAGUUUUUUACCGUUAAAAUCACGGCCAUUUUUUACAGUGUAGGUAGGACAUUGGAAAUUUGGCAAUUAGAUAUUUUAGUAAUGAAAAUUAUUUACAUUAAAAAAUUGUGAGCUCAAACUUGAUUUUUAGCCCUAUUUUGAAAUUACUGUACUCUGCUUUUGCAUUGUCUGCAAAAAGUGAGAAGUCACAUCAAGGCAAAAGGCAGUAACUUCCACAUCAUCUGUAUGAAAUAUAGUGAUCAUGGCUAUCUCAUACAGGCUAUUGCACAUAUAACGUGAAUGUUUUUUUUGUUUUUUGACCGUAACAAGCAGACUAAAAGUUAAACGUGAGUGGAUACCGAUUUAUUUGCUAUGCUCAGUAACGCAAAAGAAUGCUAGACAUAUGCCUAAUUGCUUUUAUAUUGACUUGAAUGAAAUAGCCUAACCUAAAAGAAUGACUCGUGGAUUUACGUGAACGCCAGCAAGCAGGAAUAAUGCUCAGAAUGCUUUUAAAUUAAUUAAACAUUAAACAUCUCCGACGACGUUGAUCUCCAUGGAUUGAUUUUAUCGGGUUACAAGAAAAGGUAGGAUAUGGAUUUAAUUGCUAACUAUUAGUAGGCUACUGAUUUUAUGAUUGAUCAUGCUACAUGCUACGGCAUUCGAGUCCACACACGUCCAACUAGAAGUGACAUCCUGGUGAAUAAUCUGCAUUAUAAAAAGGAAAAGAAAAAAAAUAUCUUUAAAGGUUAUUCAUGAUUACGAUUUACUGCCAUGACAUCUAGUCUUUACAGUGCUUUAUACGGAGCUGUUGUUUCUCUACACCGUAAAUGCGUCAGACUUUAAAUGGACAGUAAAAAAACAAACAAAAAAAGGCAGAACACCGUAUAACUCAAAACCGGCACCGUAACUUCAUUUUGACGCGCAGUUAAACAAAGUCGGAACGCCGUAACUCAUUUUGAGCGUUCCAAACAAAGUGAAAGAGCCGUAACUGGUGUUAGGCUAUAUGGUGUUCUGCCUUUCUCCUUGGUUUCGAAGUUACGUUGGGUUGAGACGACCCAUUAUUUUCUCGGAAAAACAACGAGAUUGACUCAAGAUACUUAUGCACAUGAUAAAGGAUGUGUUGAAUGUCCCAAAAAUAUCCAUAACUAAUUUUCGACCAAAAUCGAAGUUACGGUCUUGCCCUUGCACGGCAGUAUUGCACAAGUGGAUGCCUUCAAGUAUCUUGGGUGGUCAUUCAUCGUUCAUUGACUUGGAAAGCCUACACUGAUUAUCUCUGCUCAAGAUUCCAACAAAGACUAUAUUUUUAAGAAGACUCAGGUUGGUCGGAGUAAGUCAUGUUGUUUUACCAAGCAGUUUUGGGAAGUUUACCAAACUAUGCAGGCUUGGAAUGGCAAUCUUUCAGUUCAAUCAAAAUCACAGCUUGUAUGUCUUGUCAUAGUUGCUAUGAAAAUCAUUGGUGUAAGAAAGUAGGCCUGCAUCACUUCAGUCCAUUUGAGUCCUUGGUUUUUUAGAGCUCAUGAGCAAUAAUAAGUGAUUUAAGCUGUGUUUUAUUUACAACGUAUCAGUUAGGGUAGCUUUAUAGAGUUCCAUUAGGGUGACCAUACGUCCUGGACAUGUCCUCUUUUUGCGUCCGGCCGGGAUUUCUUAAAUCGCCCAAAAUGUCCGGGAUUCGGCUCUUCCUCUCUACAGUCGCCAUUCAUUGUGUGCAUUUUUGUAUUAAAGCCCUGCACGGGACUGUUUUUUUAAUCCUGAUCUCAAUUUCUGUCUAUUACUGCUUGCUGCCGCAAACAUUCUAAUGUUGAAUAUAAUUUUCGCGCAUCAGGAAGCCGCCAUCAAUAUGCGGAGUAUUUAAAUCGCUUUGGAUGCAGCUCGUGUUGGAUGCAGGGUUGCCAAAUCCGCAUUUUUUCCCCACGGAAUUGGGCUAAACUGUUGCGGCGGGUUGAUUUUCUCCCGUAGGUUGAAGGUUUGAAUUAUUGCAUAAAUUACAUUUGAUUGAAAUGCUUGUAUUGAAACAUUUUGCAUUCUACCUAUGAUAAAACUGUGGUAGAUGUAAAGUUUUGUGAGAAUAGCCACUGGUAGGAAGCCUUUUAGCCAGCUGCGGAUUAACGCACAGGCUUGCCUGCAGCCUAGGGGCCCUACGUGUGCAGGGGCCUCGGAUUGGCCAGACUAUUUUUAUUAUUAUUUUAAAUUUACUUUUUAAGCAAACAAAAAUUUUAACAAAUAAGACCCUCAUUGGCCCAUACGUGACUCUGGACGGGCAGCCGUGACGUGACGUGACUCUGGACGGGCAGCCGUGACGUGACUUUGGGAGAUCAGCUGAGACGUGACUCGGUUGAUGACGACCAACUGUGACUUGGCUCAACUCUCUGACAUCAACCGUGACUUGACUUAGUUCUUGAAGAUCAGCUUUGACUUGGCUUGAUUCGUGAAGAUCAACCGUGACUUGACUUAGCUUGUGAAGAAAACUGAAACCAAAACUUUUUGAUACUUCAAAAAGUCAUUAUAAACAUAGUCCAUAUGAAUCGCACAAUGCGUGUUCUGAAGAGACACGAUCACUUUAUAUGUGUAUAUAUCAACUGUACUUGGUACACAUUUAAAAUUUUAAUUAAUUUAUAUUAUGUAUGCUCAGAUACACUGACAGUUUAUUUACUUGAUCAUUAGUUGAUAGAAUUACAAUCCUAUUAUUCAUGCAAAUUUAAAUGGGCCUUUUUAGAAGAAUAAAUAUUAUAGAGAUUUUUAUAAAGUAGUUUUAUCUUCAAAAAUAAUAAUUUACCUUAUGUUUGCUCUUUUGGUUCUCACAGCAAAGAUGAGUGCUUUACAUCAUCAUUGAACAAUUUUAAAACUUUUAUGUUAAGAUGGUGAGGUAUUUACAGUAAUAUCAGUUCAGUGAGUGUUGCAACAAACUUAAUGUAACAUUUCUGUUACAUUAUUCAGUAGUGUGAAUGACCUCUGGAUCACCUGAAUAUGCUUGACUUUGAGUUUGGAUCAUGAACAGUUUACAUGUUUUCAUGGAUCCAUGUUGUACUUCCAGGCCACUUAAUACAUUGUUCAACAAGAGGUACUUCCUGCAGAUCCCUUAUAAGAUAUGUAAAGAGAGAAGAAGGUAGGAAUGAGGCUCCUGUUAGAUGAGUCUGGUUUGAUGCACUUUAUUUUUUGGCUGAGUCUGUCACCUUUUCCCUUUCUCUAACCGAUAGCUCACAAGUCUAUGUGCCUCCAGAUCCACCAGGUUACUUUGAUGGAUAUGUUUGGCCCAUUUACAGUACUUGAAAAACAGAAAAGCGAUGGAAGAAACUGUAAAUGGCGUAUAGUGUUUCUGGAUGGCACAAAGAAGAGCGAGAUGUUGCUCUCAACUGUUCUUGCAGACAUUCAGGAAAUUCUUAAGGUUACAGAGAGAUGAGUUGUCACUUUCCAGAUUUUGAGGACCAUGAUUUCCAGCAGUCAGCAGUGUUUUCUGCAAGUAUAUUAUGAAUAUAUCAACGAGUUCCUCAUAGCAUGUCUUAUUUCACUUCCUCAUUAAAGUCGAUUUGCCACAAGCUAUGUGACUGCCAUAUGACAAUCUGAAGCAUGUGCAUUAAUACUAAAAAUACUUUUUGUAAAAACUGUUCUUGCAGACAUUCAGGAAAUGCUUGCCAUGCAAACAAGCCUGUGGUGGCCCUUUACGGGCCCACUUAGGGCUAGCCUAAGGGCCCCCAGCGCAGGGCCCCUGAGAAUUUGCUCAUUGCCAAAAUGUUGGCCCCUUAGCACUGGCCCUGCCCUCACUAGGCCCACACAGGGCCCGCACAAUUAAUCUACAACAAUAAAUCUGUUUCACUAUAAAUACUUUCCAGCUACUGUAACUUAAGUCUUUGGAAAAAAACGUUAUUAUACAUCUGAAAUGGAUGAAGUCACUACAUAACUAAUGUCUGUAAUGUACUGUCAAAAAUGUACAGUAGUCAAAGGGAUUUCAAUUUAUUAAAUACAAAAUAGAAAACAUUUAAUUCAGGUUAAUACAGCUACAUAUAGCCAAAAAUAUAAAUACACAAAAGUACAAAAAAACAAAAGAAAGCAAACAAAGCAAUGUAAGAUUGUAGGAUUUCGUCAUGUGAAAGUUGAUGUGUGCAAAAGUCUUAUCUGUAGAGCAUAAAUGUCCAAACACUGUCCGUAGCUGAAGUUGGCUGAUAGCAAAUGAAUAAUCCAACCUCUUGUAAUGAAAACACGCCACAGCUCUCAAACACCAGGCUCUUCCUAACCAGGAACAGUCAAAAAUUAGUCCAGACUAUGGUCCCACUGUCAGCAUCCUACCUCCUGUAGUUUAUCUCCGUGCCUCUAGAGGUCCCCUGUGUUCUCCCCUGCCUUAGUUCUUCCUCGUGUGGCCUUGGUAGCAUUAUCAGCUCACCUGUGCCUUGUUCCCCCCAGUGUAUUUAAGUUGUGUAUUUUUCCCUUGGUUUCUCACUCGGUUUUUGAGUCUUUGCCCUGUGUCUGUUGCUUGGUCUCGCUAAAGCCUCUCUAGCUACCCCAAGUAAGGUAUCCCGAGUUCCUUUCUGUGGUUGUUAUUGUUCUUUGGUUCUGUUUUCUUCCCUUGUGGAGUUUUUAUUUUCUCAUGUUUUUUCUUCCCAUUGUUUUUGUUGUUUAUACCUCGGUCUGAGAAGAACUUUUGUUGAAUAAUUCUUGCAAAGACUUUUUUUCUUUUCUUUUUUUUUUUUAAAUAAAUCUACAUUUCCUUGAAUACUGCCUUAAGUGUUUCGUUUGGGUCCAACAUUACCACUCCCGUGGCUCAGUGGUAGAUCUCAACCACCACACCAGAGACCUGAGUUCAAGCCUGGCUUGUGACACCCAUGUGGUGACCUCACCAAUAAAGAGUCAUUCUAAAAUGCAUACAAAUACACUGUCUUAAACUCUUAGCAUCAAUCCAAACAUAGGCCAUACAUACAUGUAAAAUCUCUGCAAAAAACAUCAACUCCUUACUUUAGACUGGGCUUGAAAUGACACAUUUCCCAACCAGGCAGUGGUGUAGUCUACAUGAUACACUGGUAUUAUGGCGUAUACCCACCAGCGAAGGUCAAGGAUUUCCGUAUACCCACUUAAAAAAGCGUGAAGAUACGUAACAACAUCUUUGUGACAGAACUUUAACGCGUUCAUUCACCCAGUCUGUGUUGCGAUCGAAGCACUGACUUUUUGAAAAUCACUCUGUGUUUCUGUUGAUGACCAGUGCUAUUGCGCAACUCUUUCAUUUCAACUGACUAUCUGAGGCCAUCCUAAAAAUUGCGCCACUGCUGCGCGUUGCCACAAAAGCUUAUCAUUUGCACGCGUUUUUUAUGCCUUGCCCAUUUAAACAUUCAAAAGUGUUUAUAAGCAUUCAAACACAGGAUGCAGAAAAACUCAAAUGAGUACUCACUCGCCGAGGAGAAUGCAGGAGAGAUAACACAGAUAUGUGUGUGUCUGUGUACAGCAGUUAAACUGAAUACAAUGUUUAU